rfam:Myotis brandtii contig311230, whole genome shotgun sequence.
GUGCUCGCGUUAGCAGCACAGGUACUAAAACUGGAAUGAUAGAGAUUAGCAUGGCCCCAGGCACAAGGAUGACACACAGACUCAUGAAGCAGUCUAUAUAUUU